rnacentral:rRNA from 1 species
CAGGCCUAUCACAUGCAAGUCGAACGGGCACCUUCGGGUGUCAGUGGCAGACGGGUGAGUAACACGUGGGAACGUGCCCUUCGGUUCGGAAUAACUCAGGGAAACUUGAGCUAAUGCCGGAUACGCCCUUACGGGGAAAGGUUUACUGCCGAAGGAUCGGCCCGCGUCUGAUUAGCUAGUUGGUGGGGUAAUGGCCUACCAAGGCGACGAUCAGUAGCUGGUCUGAGAGGAUGAUCAGCCACACUGGGACUGAGACACGGCCCAGACUCCUACGGGAGGCAGCAGUGGGGAAUAUUGGACAAUGGGCGAAAGCCUGAUCCAGCCAUGCCGCGUGAGUGAUGAAGGCCUUAGGGUUGUAAAGCUCUUUCGACGGGGACGAUAAUGACGGUACCCGUAGAAGAAGCCCCGGCUAACUUCGUGCCAGCAGCCGCGGUAAU